GACGAACCGUCCAAACGUUGUUCGGAAUCACUGGGCUUAAAGGGCGCGUAGGCGGGCUAUCGAGUCCGGGGUGAAAUCCUCCAGCUUAACUGGAGAACGGCCUCGGAUACUGAUGGUCUCGAGGGAGAUAGGGGCACGCGGAACUGUGGGUGGAGCGGUGAAAUGCGUUGAUAUCCAUAGGAACUCCGGUGGCGAAGGCGGCGUGCUGGAUCUCUUCUGACGCUGAGGCGCGAAAGCCAGGGGAGCAAACGGG
rnacentral:rRNA from 1 species